GAACUAAUUUUUGUAUGCUUCAAUUUGUUGUAAUUAUUUCUUUCUGUGCUAAUAUCAAGUUGAAUUGUCAACUUAAUUCUUUCUUUAACAUUGUUAAGUUGACUUGAUUUCUUAGUUUUCUGGUUCUAUUUUAGAGCAUUUAAUGAAAUAGUAGUAAUUACUAUUAAACUAAGAUUUUGAAGAAGAGUAACUUUUUCAUGUCAUUACAAAGGUCUUAGUUUUAUUACUUAUUGUUAGUGACUAACAUGGAUUUUUAAGUAUAUUGUAUAUGCAAUGUAUGAGUUCAUCAACUAAAUUUGCAUUCUGCAUUUACCCUAAAAGGCAUUAAUAUAGAGAACUAUUCAUUUACUUUUUUCUGGAAGUAAAACUUUAGGUCACAUAGUGCUAAAUUUUUAAAUGACCAGAUUGCCAUAACCUAGCAGCAAACAAAAUUUAACACAACGAACAAGGGACACAACUUUAGCUUGAUAUAUUAUUGUCACAAUUCAAGUUGUCUCCCUUGUAUUAAGCAUUUGUAACUAAUUCCUUUGCAAGCAGAGUGAUCAUACAUAACUUUGAAAACAACUGGUUAUAUAGAUAAUAGUAUAGAUGUCACAAUUGUCCAAUGAAAUCUCGACAAACAUGCAGAAUUAUAUUGAGCCAUAUAACUUGAACAUAAUGGGUCAUAUAACUUGCACAUAAUUGACUAUAUAACUUGCAUGUAAUGGGUUAUAUAACUUGCAUGUAAUGAGUUAUAUAAUUUGCACAUAAUGGGUCAUAUUACCAGCACAUAAUGACCACUAUACACUGACACAAUAUAUGUCAUAUAACUUGCACAUAAUGGUUACAUAAUGGGUCCAUAUAACUUGCACAUAAUCAUAACCAACUCUAUUUUGUAAUGAAAUCAUCAAAAGCCGUUGUUUUUAAUUGUGCAUUUUUUCCACAAUGGAUAAAUCAUAAAGUUUUUAGUGUUUGUAAAAAAAUAAUCAUUGUUUUGUUGAAAUUUUCACAAAUUGUGUAAGAAAGUCGGCCAAUUUCUAAUUUCGUGGUCAUUUAAAGUGUAUUUUCUUGCCUUAUUUAUAUCACUUAAUUGAAAGCUGUGUAGAAACAUUAUUGGUGUUAAUAUACAAUGUAUUAGCUUUAAAUGACUUAACAGAGAAUUUAUUGAUUUAAUCAGAUUCAUUAUAUCUGCAUUGAGAAUAGAUUAAUACUACAAAAUGUAGACCCUUUUUGUUUCGCAGUGUAACCUUUUUCUGUUGAUUCACUUCUGCAAAUUGCCAAAUUUAUUUUUUAAGUAUCAUACCACUGUAUUCAUUUGUUACUGCAGUGAAUACGAAAAUAAUUCUAAAAGCUAUGGUAAUGUACAUGUAUGUUGGUUUUUUAGCUAAUCUGUUUCGAAGAAAAAGUUAAGCUAUUAUGAUAUUUUCAUUUUGCAAAAUAUUUAAUGUAGCUCAUUAUUCAAAUAAUUUCAAAGUUUUCGACAUGAAACUUGGAAUUGUUCCUUAGGUGCAAUUUUUACACAAGUUGCACAAAUGUGAAAGCAAAUUUAAUGAAAUAAUGCCGCUUUUUUAACAGAUGAAUGUUAGCACUGCAUAUGGUGUUCUUGUUUUUGUCUUCUUGUGACAUAAUUAUAUAAUAAUAGGUCUAUGUAAAUAAGUAAAGUUUUCAAAAUAAUGGUAGCCUGGAGUUUUGUUAAUAUAUGAAUAACAUGUGCUAUCUGUCAGUGUGUAUAGGGUACAGGGUGUUCACUAGCCAUGAAAUCCUGAGGGUCAUUUUGACCAGUAAUGGUCACUUUUACCAUCUACAAGGCCAAAUCCCUAUGAUUUCAACAAAAUUUGAGCCUCCAGUUAAAAAUCCUGAGGUCUUAUCAGGUCUUUUGGAAAUUUGAAAGGUCAAAAAGUCAUUUUAAAGUUCAAACGGACACCCUGGGAGACAUUUUUGUUUUGCAAAUUUAAAGGCUAAUUCAAGUGUUGUCAAAUUGUUUUGUUUUUUUUAAAUUCUUUUGAAGAAUGAAGUCUUCCAUUGGUUUGUAUUGGGUGCAACUAUUUUUAUCAUAAUAUGACUGCUGGCAAUAGAAAACAGAUCUUUACAUCAUUUUGAAAAUGACAUCACCAGAUGUUUGUGAUGUCAUUAAAGGUUAAAAAUAUGAUUGGGGGGUGGGGGUAGCAUAGAGAAGAAAAUACCCUCUAGAUUUAGAAAAUAUGAAUAUAUAGUCAGAAUAGGAAGAUUGCCAUUGUUUUUUAUUUAUUUUUAUUUUUUAACAUGCUAGAGAAUUGAAUUUCUUAAAAAAGUAAAUUUUGUCAGUUUAAAAAAAAUCAAUGUUGACAUUGAUUCUUCAAAACUUCUUACUGCCAGUCCUUGUAAAAAAUUUAGUAGACUAGACUAUUUGAUUAGACAAUGUGAUUUAUGUAUGAUUAGAAUAUUGGACAGUAUGAUUUUCAUGAAAUUAUGUAGUAUAAAAUUAUCAAAUUGAAAAAUAUUUUGUAAAAAAAAUAUGCAAUUGAAAAAUAUGAUUUUCAUAUAUAGUCUUUUGAUUGGACAAAAUGAUUUGCAUAUAACUACAUGUAUCUGAUUUGAAAAAAUGAUUUACAUAUUAUAAGUAUUAGCUUGGACAACAUGAUUUGCAUAUUAUAGGUAUUAGAUUUGAAAAUACUAUAAUCAUUGGAUUGGAUAAUGUGAUUUGCAUAUUAUAGGUAUUUGAUUGGACCAUAUAAAUUGCAUAUUUUUGUUAUUGUACAUGUUGUAUUGGUCACUUUGAUUUGCAUGUUAUAGUUAUUGUAUUGGUCAACUUGAUUUGCAUACUAUAGCUAUUGGAUUGGUCAACAUGAUUUGCAUACUAUAGUUAUUGGAUUGGACAACAUGAUUUGUAUAAAUAUAGGAUUGGACAACAUGAUUUGCAUAUUUAUUGGAUUGGAUAAUAUGAUUUGCAUAUUUAUUGGAUUGGACAACAUGAUUUGCAUAUUUAUUGGAUUGGAUAAUAUGAUUUGCAUAUUAUAGAUAUUGGAUUUAUAAUAAUUAUGUACAUUGACAUAAGUAGGUAUAUACAUUAUAAUAAUAACUUCUAAUGAGCAUUUAGUUUUAUAACCUUUUGAAGAUAACAUGUUUAUUUCGUUUGUUAUGAUAUGUUAAUGGGUCAAUUUGUUAAACAGAGAUUUUAUGUAACAAUGCAUGAUUUUUUAACAUACUUAACUGUAACAUAAUUAUUCAAGCAUAACAAAUAUUAGCUCGCUGUAAAUAUGCUUAGCAAAAAUAGGAUGUCAGUCACAUUAUACCUGAGAACAAUCUGUAAAUGUGUUCAGCUUUUUUCAGGCAUUGACCUUUUGAAUUUUAAGCAGCGAUGACUUGGUUUAAAUACCUGUACAUAACCAGGCCGGCCUGACCUUCUGUACUGUCUGACCAGGCUAGGCACUGGAGGCUACAGAGUUUUUGUUAUUUUGAUAAAUCCUUGAAAUUUACAAUUAACUGUUUCGAAUUCAGAAGGGCGAUUCCGGUACACCGAAAAAAAAAAACAACAGGGUAAGGGUUGGAUGCAUAAUAUUUUCUUGUUUUAAAGGAACUCCACUAAGGUCCAAUAGCCUAAAAACAAAAAGUUAUAAUUUUUUAAAUAAAUCAGUUGAGGCCUUUAAAAAAUAGAGGAUAUUGAAUGAGUGUAAGUUCAAUACUGAAUUUAUUGCACGAGUUGAAUAAAAUUAUAUUAUGCGAGCCUCUGGCGAGCAUAAUAUUAUUUUAUUCAACGAGUGCAAUAAAUUCAGUAAUGAACUUACACGAAUUUAAUAUUCUAUUUAUCACAUACCCAAAAUAAAGAUUAAAGACCGUUUAAAGUGAAAUAGAGUCAUUGUUUUUUGACGCGCCUAUAGUAUAACGCUAACAUUUAGCACGUCUUUACACUAUGUUUGUAUAACGCUAAUGACGUCACGUCAAAAUAUAUGCACGGCCGUGCAAUACCAUAUUUACGGAGUCACAAAAUCGGCACGGGUAUGUGAUAAAGAAAGAUAUGCUAAUUAUGAUUGUGAAAUAUUCUCAGAAACAAUUAAAAAUCACAUUUUUGUGUUAUAAUCUUAAAAUGCACAACAAUUUCAAUUUUGGGUCAUUUUUCACAAUAAGAAUUAUUAUUCUGGAAAAAAAUCUCAGUGGAGUCCCUUUAAAAUAUUAUGUAACUUAAUGUGAAAGGUUGGACUUCCAUUGCCUUGUGAGUCUUAUGAUUCUGACUUUGAAGUUUUUGGCCGUCCCUACUUUGAAUUCAGAUUGCAACAGGGACAAUGGAGUUUUCCUUAUGAGAAAGCACAGACAGGCAUUUGUGGUCUUCCUAAAAUUAGCUGUAAUGCUGUCCUUUUAGAGAGACAGUGUGGGUUUGGCUUGAUAGUUGUAGAUCAUAAUGUGAAGAAUUUUUCUCUCUUUUUUCUUUAAAGAAAAGUUCAACAUAAAUUAUUUUGAAAGACAUAUCUUGACUAAGAAUGAUUCAUAAGCACAACUCGUAAAAUAUAUAGUUAUUUACAAAAAUACAGAACAGUACUUACACUUGGCCAAAGUAAUUUUUUUUCUGGAGAAUAAAUACAACAUUGAUGAUUAAAUACCAAAGCUAUAUAUAGAUCUUUCAACUAUAUAUAGAUUGUUCAGCUAUAUAUAGAUUGUUCAGCUAUAUAUAGAUUGUUAAGCUAAAUAUAGAUUGUUCAGCUAAAUAAAGAUUGUUCAGCUAUAAAUAGAUUGUUAACCUAUAUUUAGAUUGUUCAGCUAUAUAUAGAUUGUUCAGCUAUAUAUAGAUUGUUAAACUAAAUAUAGAUUUUUCAGGUAUAUAUAGAUUGUUCAGCUAUAUAAAGGCUGUUCAGAAUCAUCCUGGCUACAAGUCAAUAGUAAUAAGAACCUUUUUAUUGUAUAAGAAAAUGGUCGCUGAAUGCUUAAAUAUUAUUUUACAUCUGCCAAUAUAAAUUUGUUCAUAGUUGUUAAAAGCUUUUAUAUAGCAGGACAUUGUAGUAUUUGCUUUAAUUAUUGUAGAUGUCAAUGGAGUACACACGGGUCUUUGUUAAUGUAUAGAUAUUAAUGCCUUUCUUUCCCAGAUGCAGUGAAACUUCGAAAAUGCAUAUUUUUCUUGCACACAUGGAAGUAAAUUGUUUUCACAUUGUAUAAGGUAUUGUCUUUUUUUCUUGAGAAAAUCCAGAUAUUUGUAAACUUUAAGAAUUUGUUUAGUAAAUUCUUUGAAAUGUGCCAACAACUGAUAUUUGCAUCUAAUAAAUUGAUGAAUUUUGUAGCUUUAAAGCAGCACAGCUGAAGAUUUCUUGAGAAAAUCCAGAUAUUUUGUGAUCGCUUUUCGUCCGUCCGUCCGGCGUCCGUAAACUUUUACUAUAAAUUACAUCUCCUCAUAAACCACUAAGCCAAUUUCAUCCAAACUUCACAGGAAUGUUCCUUUGGUGGUCACCUUUGAAAAUUGUUCAAAGAAUUUAAUUCCAUGCAGAACUCUGGUUGCCAUGGCAACCAAAAGAAAAAACUUUAAAUAUCUUCUUCUAAAAAACCCAAAGUGGGAGCUUAGAUUUUUGGCAUGAAACAUCUUCUAGUGAGUGACUACCAAGUUUGUUCAAAUAAAAGCCCUGGGGUCAAAAUUGGCCCCGCCCCAGGGGGUCAUUGAUUUUCCCUAUAUGCAUAUAGUAAAAACUUAAAAAUUCUUCUUUUUUAGAACCUAAAGAGCUAGAGCUAAGAUAUUUAGCAUGAAACAUCUUCUAAUGAGUGUCUACCAAGUGUGUUCAAAUAAAAGCCCUGGGGUCAAAAUUGGCCCCGCCCCAGGGGGUCAUUGAUUUUCCCUAAAUGCAUAUAGUAAAAACUUAAAAAUCUUCUUUUAAAGAACCCAAAGAGCUAGAGCUAAGAUAUUUAGCAUGAAAUAUCUUCUAAUGGAUGUCUACCAAGUUUGUUCAAAUAAGAGGUCUGGGGUCAAAAUUGGCCCCGCCCCGGGGGUUAUUGAUUUUCCUUUUAUGUGUAUAGCAAAAACUUAAAAAAUCUUUUUUGAAAAAACCCAAAUAGCUAGAGUUUAGAUAUUAAGCAUGAAACAUUUUCUAGUAAGUGUCUACAAAGAUUGUUCAAAUAAAAGCCCUGGGGUCAAAACUGGCCCUGCCCCAGGUGAGUCAUUGUUUUUAACUAUGUGUGUAAAGAAAAAACUUGAAAAAAUCUUCUUUUAAAAAACCCAACGAGCUAGACCUUAGAUGUUUAGCAUGAAACAUCUUCUAUGGGUGUCUACCAAGUUUAUUCAAAUAAAAGCCUGGGGGUUUAAACCUGCCCCGCCCCGAGGGCCUACAUGUAUAUACAGGUGAGCGACUUCAGGGCCAUCAUGGCCCUCUUGUUUAUCUUUUAAUGUUUAUAUACAUGUAUAUAUGGGAGUAAACCUCUUUUUAGAAUUAUUAUUUGAUUACUUCUUCCUUACAAAAACUGCAACUCUUUUUAUUAUUUCAUUUAAGAAUAAAAACUUAACCAUCAUUUUACCAGCCUCUAAAAUUGUUCCUUUUGUUUUUGAUUUUUGAUCCUGCACUAACGUUUAAGGUGUUUUUCACUGUAUCAGUUUUAAUAUAAUUCAGAUAUAAAUUUUAAAAAAGCAAGCUAUCAUUUCUACUCAAAUAAGCCUCUUUUCACUGUGUUAAUAUACCUUUACUUUUGUCAAUAAAAUGACAAUCCUU